rnacentral:lncRNA from 9 species
AGGACAGGAACACAGAUAGGACUGGUGUCCUGGUGAUGCAGGCCUCAAAGGAUUAAUUGUGACACAUUAACCAUGAGAAGCAGCAUAACCAUUGUGUCUAGAAUUGGUUACGUAUUUUGCAAUUAUACUUGUAGCAGUUCCAAGAGAAAGGGUACAGCUGUGUUCGCACCACUUAGAAGUUUUCAUUUUCUAUCAACUAGAAAUUCAUUCAGUAUUUGGCAGUGGUUUGUUUGCAUUCUUAUAUUUUUUUUAAAGCGAUUUUUCAAUUUUUUUUUUGUGUUGUUGCUAUUUCGGGCUCUCCUGCGGCAUGUAUAGGUUCCCAUGCUAGGGGUUGAAUCGGAGCUGUAGCCACUGGCCUACGCCAGAGCCACAGCAACGCAGGAUCCGAGCCGCGUCUGCAACCUACACCACAGCUCACGGCAACGCCGGAUCGUUAACCCACUGAACAAGGGCAGGGACCGAACCUGCAACCUCAUGGUUCCUAGUCGGAUUCGUUAACCACUGCGCCACGACGGGAACUCCUGCAUUCUUAUAUUGUGUUUGGUUUCUUUCCACUUACAUUCCAAUGGUUUGCACUGAUAUGCUCAGGAUGAAGGAAAGAUUCCUGUGGUUUGCAGAAAAUACACAGAGCUAUAGCAGUCAUGCAUACAGCCAUCAUUGGGUUAGCACUCCACAACAGGGUGGAGAUGGGAUUCAUCCAAUAAUUUGAUGCCCCUAUACACUAGGGUCUUCCUUCCAUUUCCUCAGCAAGAGAGUCUCAGGAAGGCUGGGGAAUUGGGCCCCAUAAGAUAAACUUUACUUCUCCUCUCAUAGGCAUAUUUGGAGCCCCCAAGUUCCCCAUUCUGCCUGGCUUCCAGUUUACAGAUAUCAUUUGAAAAUAUUUGAGCAGAGACAUCCCUUGUCUGGGGGAAUUUCCACAGAGACAAAGACACCAGCUAGGCUGUGAGGGCACCAUUGGUCUGCAUCCCUGAAGAAUCAUCCAUGAGAUCUCCCCUGUAGUUACUGGGGAAUCCUUGUGGUACUUGACCUGCAUUGCCCUGGCAGGGAUCACAUUCCACAGUAGGCCACUAUACAAUUCUGCCAUGUUGGAAUGCAUUUCUCAACAGAGAUGCAUAACAGGGAGUACAAUAUCUUGAUAUAGAUUUAGGUUAAUAACAAAUUCAGAUUUUGUGUGUGAAUAGAGCCAAGUUUUAGACCACUUGGUUUAGCUCUCUCUCUUCUUUCAUAUUUUGUUUCGUCAAUUUCCUGAGCUUCUUUCUUUAUCUAUGCAUUUCUCUCAAGAAUUAUAUUCUCUUCAAUGCAAUUUGUGGUGCUAACAUCAUGUAUAUUAUAUACAUUCAUUAAUUUUUCUAUUUAUCUAUCACUUACCAUUCAUUUUUCUAUUUAUCACUCUCUCAUUCUCUCCCAGGGUUUUAUUUUUUGGAGGAUUGGGAAGGAAUCUAAAAUCAUUUUAUAUUUCUGGAGACUCAGAAGAAUCACUGGACAAUGCUUUUAUCUGUAGUUGAAGAUGUGAUAUAGUAUAAUAUCUUAGGAAAAUUGCAGAAUUAUUUUAUACCAGGUGUAAUAAUAGAUCAGUAGUCCUAAUCUUAUCUGAAAUAUUAGCAAUUUUAUUUACAACGAGGAAAAAUAAUUAGGCAUCCAUUGCCCACUUGAGAAUGAGAGCCUGAGGAAUGGUCAACCCCAAAUUAUGAAGUUGUCUUUGAUGAUUUGAGGAAAAAAACGGGUUAAAUGAACUUGCAAAACCCCCAUUCCUGAAAGAAAAUUAAAGUAGAGCGUAUGAUUAUCUGGAAUGCAGAAUCGUGUGAAACAUUCUGUGCCCAAUAUGGAAAACUGUGAAAAAAGAAGUUUGGAGUGUGGAAAUGUGUGACUCCUACAGAGCAGAGCACAGUAGGUCUGGAAUGUGGCAAGGUCUGGACUAGAUAGUCAGUCUACUUGGCUUGUGAAGACCAUAGUGGCUGCAUUCAAAUAGCCUGGAUAAAUUUGAGCUUGCCUGUAAUUUCACAGUGGCUUAGGUUCCUCUACAUCCUUCCAGGUCCUCAAAAUUGAAGGGGAUUUUAAAUGCCUCUUGAAAUCUCUGAAGGGUAUUGAGGUUUUGUCUGUGGUAUCCUUGGCCUAGAGAAGAACUUGGUUUCAAGUGACUGCACUGCAGUCCAGCUGUUUGACAAUCGUGUGUGCAGGUUUCUUGAUGAGAGCCCUGUGUUUUGGGGAAUUGUGAAAUUUCAGCAGCCCCACAGAUUACUAUAAAUGGGAUGGGGCUUCCUCAGCCCUUAAAGAGCCCUGUCUUAAGGGAGAGCACAUGGGGCCAGGCUUCUCCCUACAACUCCACUGGUUCUCAAACCAUGGAUUACUCCACUGAGUCCUUCACAUGCAGUGGUAUGUUGACAUCUGCAUCUGGGCGUGGGGUUGCAUCACCCAAUGGCUUUGAUGCCUUCAUGCUUCUGCAGCCUGGAUAGAUAUAGAAAUGCAGUUGAUGAUGGCAUAUUAAGAUAUUGGCUUGGCUUUUGACAGCAAUCAUUUUGCCUAAAGGAAACAGACUCACCUCAGAAUAACAGUUUUCCCAUAAACAUGGUGUAUUAUCUCUAGGUUGGAAGUUAAUGUUAUAUCAUCCACCAGAGUUGUCCGUGCAGAUAUCACUCCUCCUGACUAAAGGUCCUGACGGUAUUUCUCAUAGAGCACAGUAACAUUUUUUCCUGGCCAACAUUUCUGGCCAACUGAAUUUAUUUUCACAAAAUCAAUUGACACAUUGUAGGACUUAGAAUAGGAGUAUUCAUUGAAUAGGAUACAUUGUAGGAUUUAGAAUAGGCGCAUCCACUCGAAUUGUGGUCUCUUCCACUGGAUGAAACAACAAAUAUGAAUAUACACCUGUGGGUAUAUACACUUGUUUAUUUCUGUAUUGUUUGUGGCGAUUGCUUCCUUUUUAUUCUUGGUAAUUUCUGAAGCACUUUGAAUAGAAUUCAUCAUGAGUAUACAACACAUUCUUGUGUACUCACUUCCAAAGUUGAGGCAUUUUUGUAUGACAGAACGCAAUCCUGGGGAGUUGAGGAAUCUUGAUAUCCAGGUACUAAGAAAAAUUGUGGAUCUUAUUUCCAUCCCUAAAGGUUUUCAGUCUCCCUUGGUUGUUCUCAAUGAAAAUUCCUACUGCAUUUUAAUCGCUCAAUUUCUCUCUCUCUCACUUCCACUGUGACCAUGUUUUACUCACUUUCUAUUUUUUUUCAUCCUUGCAAACCAUCUUACAUCACCAAAUAAUUUCCCUAUUUUGCAAGUCAUGUCUACAUGAAUGGCACCGUUGACUUUGUACACUAUGGCGUCGACAGUGUAAUAUGCAGACUUGGUCUUGGUGUGGAAGUUGUCAUCACUGAAUGUGCUGAGGUGCGUCCUGAUGGACACUUGCCCGGUUGAGUUGGAUAUUCAAGUCGAUCUGCUGGAUGUCUCUUUGUCCUGAUGUAUCAUAAAUAUCCAGGACGUUGGAAGCUCACCUGAAGAGAAGUUGGCUUUGUGUGUAUGCGGAAGCAAAUGCUGGGAGACACCGCCUCCAGGAAAACUGGCAAUGGUCUUCGACGGCCUUUGGUUUGGGGGCUGUGGGGUAAGAGCUUCGCAAGGGGACCCGCCAUGGGGCCGUCAGUUGCAUGCGAAUCACCAAGGACGUAUUCCUGGGUGCCGGCCGGACAGAAGGGAGACCAAUCCAGGGGGAAUUCCUCUGCUUCUGUGUGCUUUGACAGGUCUAGACCAGGAAAGCCCACACUGAGGCCAUGUGGCUGAGAUCAGGCAACCUGUUGCUAGUGGGUAUUUCGGGAGGAGAGGCUCCUGGUGGCCUAGAGCGUGGCAUAACUCAGGAAGCUAUGGGUUUCGUGGUUGCAAGGAUAUGCAGGGAACCACAAGUCCACUGGCUAUCACAAACUUUUCCCUUGGGGUGGUGUGGACCCACGGCCCUUUCUUCCAUUCUUGUCCACCACCACUAGGGCCUGAACACAGAUAGGACCGGGGUCCUUUUUAUUCAGGGCCCCUAGACUAAUUGUGACUCAUUCAAAGUACGAGGCAUCAUAAUCAGAAUGUCUCGAGCUGGUGAACCAUUUUGCAAGCAAUACCGGAAGGCGUUGCAUCAGAAAUGGUAUUGUUGCAUCAGAACCUCCUAGAAGUUUUCUUUUUCUACCCUCCAGAAAUGCAUUCAGUGUCUGAUCGUGGUUUUUUUGCAUUGUUCUAUUUGUGUUUGUUUCCCUACCAUUUAUUUUCUGAUGGUUUGUGCUGAAGUGCCCUGGACAUAGGAGAGGCUACUGUGUUAUCAAAAAGUACCCCCUUUUAUAGCCAUUGUGCUUACUCCCAUCAAUAAUUUAGAACUCACCAGUAGGCUGAAGGCUGGUUUCUUCCAAAAAUUUGAUAUCCGUAUACACUAGGGUCUUCUUUCCAUUUUCUUUGCCAGGGUGUCUUGGGAAUUUCGGUGAAUUGGGCCCAGAGAAUGGACUUUACUCCUCCCCUCGUAGGCAUCAUUGGUGCCCCCAAGUUCCCCAUUCCACUUGGCUUCCAGUGUACAGAUAUCUUUUUCAAAACAUGUGAGCAAAGACAGCCCUUGACAUUGGGAAUCUCUACAGGUUAAAAUGACACGCAAAAGGCCCAAAGGGCACCAGUGAUCUGCAACCUGCUGAAACAUUCCUGAGAUCUCUGUCAUAGGUCCUUGGGAAUCCUGGUUGUAAUUGACCUGGGUUGACCUGGCAAAGUCCACAAUUCACUGCAGACCACUAAACACCUCUGCCACGUUGCAAUGCUUUUCUCAAAAUCGAUACAUUACUGGGUGUACAAUAUCUUGAUAUAGAUAUAAGUUCCUAAAAAUUCAGACGUCGUGUGUGAAUAGAGCCAAGUUUUAUCCCAGUUCGUUUAGCUCCCUGUCAUCUUUCCAAUUUUCCGUCUUUCAUUCUCCUUAACUUCUUUACCUAUAUAUUUCUCUCAAGGUUUCUAUCCUCUACAAUGCAAGGCUUGGCUCUAGCCUCCUGCACCUUCUAUAUAUUAAUAUACAUUUUUAUCUCUCUCUCUCAUCAUCAAUUUCUCUCCUAUUUACCAAUUUUAAUUCUCUAUCUGGGUUUUAUUUUUUGGAUGAUUGUUAACCAAUCAAAAAUUCUUUUCUACUUCUGGAGACUCAGAGGAAACACUGGACCCUGAUUUUUUCUAUGGUUGAAGGUAUACUUUAGCUUAAUAUAUUAGGAAAUCUGCAGAAUUUAUUUUUUCCAGGUGUAAUCAGUGAUCAUAUGAUCAUAUUCCUAUCUGAAAAAUUAGCAAUUUUAUUAAUAUGAGGAAAAAUAUUUAGGUACACAUUGCUCAGUGGAGCAGGAGAGCCUGAGGAAGGUUUGUGUGCAAAUAAUGAAGCUGUCUUUUAAGGUUUCAGAAAAAAAAAAAAAAAAAAAA